rnacentral:lncRNA from 1 species
GCUGCUGAAUCAUAUGAAUGGUUUGUAAUGAUGGCGUGUUUAUGAUUUGCAAACAGAUCGGCUACAUCAAGAUGAAGUGUCCUGACUGUGGUCACCAAGUGGCAAAAUCGUCAAAAUUUUGCAGUGAAUGCGGAUUGAGGUUACCUGCUCAAAUUUGCACCACAGAUGGGACCACUUCAGAGCAUCAAACAUCUGUGGUCCGUGAAGCAGAGCCCCAGAAGGAGGAUGCACCGAUGACAUCAUCAGGGGACAAGACCGACGCACCUAUGAAACACUCCAGUGAAGAACCAGGGGGCAAUGUCAAGAAAAAGGUCCCAAUCUUUACUAGAAUAUAGAGUAUAUGCAGAGUCAGGAUUGUUUUACAUAGUUCAAAAUUCGGUAACACUUUACUCAAAGCGGACAGGUAUAAUGUUUUAUUUCCUGUUAUGAGCAUUCAUAAGCCUUUAUAAUGUCAUCUUAUUAAAAGGCUUCUAAUAUUUUGUCUAUGUAACCUCUUUUUAAAUGACUCAACAGCUGUCAUUAAGUCAGAGUAUCAUUAUUAUGAGACGAUAAGAGAUUUACAAUUAUAUCUUUUUUUAACAGAACCAGUCACACUUUCACUUUGUGCCGUUAGGAUGUGAC